rnacentral:tRNA from 2 species
UCCUCGCCAGCGGAUCUGGCACGAGGUUUCCGAAGCCACGUUGCGCAAGUUCAACUCUUGCCGGGGACGCG